ensembl:lncRNA
CAAAUUUUCUCCUCAAAAUAGCAAUAUCAAAGUGAAUAUGUUAAAAUGGGCUUGGUGUUAAAAUGGCUGUGUCAAAAUAUCAUAUACCCCUAGGAAGUACUAAAAGAUAAGAUCCAACAGGUUCCAGGGAUACAUGGAGACAUCUUUGUCUGGCUGAAAGGCAGGCAUAAAUCAUAUAAGUAAGUAUUAAGUGCUGAGAAGGCACAUACAAUUUAUUUUAACAGCACAAUGGAGGGAGCAGACAGCACUGCUUAAAGAAAAUCAGGAAUCAGAACUACUUCACACAGAUGGUUGCAUUUACUCUGGGAUUUAGAGAAUAAUUAGAAAUCUCCAGGUGGUAAAAGAGGGGAAAGAACACUCGUCCUUUUAGCAAAAUUCAAGAAGAAAAAGCAAACAAGCAAGCAACCUGGAAGGUCCAAGUAUGGCAUAAAGGUAGAAAACAUUUGCCAUGGAAGCAUUCAUCCUUUACUGGGACUGAACUACCCCUGAAGGAAUCAGUUGCCAUGGAAGAACUCAGCCUCUGUCAGGAUUGGACCACCUCUAAUGAUAGGCUAAGUUUUUAUCUGAUUAUCAGCCUUUAAAUAAUAUUUACUUCUUGAUUAUGUCAGGACUGUGUUGUUAAAUCUAUUUGCAAUUACCUGACACUCUACUAUAUUGUGUCUAUUGUGGGUAAAGAGAGAUUUUUUUACCUCCCUCUAUAAUUGAAAAAAAAAUCUGUCUAAUCUUGACUGUUCUCAAGUUAUUUAAGAGGUUUGCCUGCCUACUUGUUAAAUUGCAAUCUCCUGAGGAGUCCUUAUAAAGUCAUUAAUUAUACCAUAAAAGCUGUAUUCAAUUUUCAUCACAUCUGCAGAUACUUCUUCCCCUGUCAUUUUGCUGAUAAUAAUCCCUGAACAAGAAAUCACCAAGUUAUCCACACAUUCAGGAGAAACGAAAUGUAAGAGCAUCUCUCUUGUAUUAAACAGCAUAAAUAACACCAGCUGCUGGAACAAACACCCCCAGAU